AUGCAGUCGAACGGAAACGAUGGGAGCUUGCUCCCAGGCGUCGAGUGGCGGACGGGUGAGUAGUACUUAGGAAUCUGCCCAUUAGUGGGGGACAACUCGGGGAAACUCGAGCUAAUACCGCAUACGCCCUACGGGGGAAAGCGGAGGACCUUUCGGGGCUUCGCGCUAAUGGAUGAGCCUAAGCCGGAUUAGCUAGUUGGUAGGGUAAAAGCCUACCAAGGCGACGAUCCGUAGCUGGUCUGAGAGGACGAUCAGCCACACUGGGACUGAGACACGGCCCAGACUCCUACGGGAGGCAGCAGUGGGGAAUAUUGCACAAUGGGCGCAAGCCUGAUGCAGCAAUGCCGCGUGUGUGAAGAAGGCCUGCGGGUUGUAAAGCACUUUCAGUAGAGAAGAAAAGCCUAGGGUUAAUACCCCUGAGUCUUGACGUUACCUACAGAAGAAGCUCCGGCUAACUCCGUGCCAGCAGCCGCGGUAAUACGGAGGGAGCGAGCGUUAAUCGGAAUUACUGGGCGUAAAGCGCGCGUAGGCGGCUUUGUCAGUCGGAUGUGAAAGCCCUGGGCUCAACCUGGGAAUUGCAUUCGAUACUGCAGAGCUAGAGUAUGGUAGAGGGAAGUGGA
rnacentral:rRNA from 1 species